ensembl:miRNA Gm24810 predicted gene, 24810
UUCUUUCCAACUUCAGGUUAUUAAAAUAUGGCUGCUCCUUAUUUAUAAUAGCCAGAAGCUGGAAAGAACC